rnacentral:rRNA from 1 species
GACGAACGCUGGCGGCGUGCUUAACACAUGCAAGUCGAACGGAAAGGCCCUGCUUUUGUGGGGUGCUCGAGUGGCGAACGGGUGAGUAACACGUGAGUAACCUGCCCUUGACUUUGGGAUAACUUCAGGAAACUGUGGCUAAUACCGGAUAUGAGCUCCUGCUGCAUGGUGGGGGUUGGAAAGUUUCGGCGGUUGGGGAUGGACUCGCGGCUUAUCAGCUUGUUGGUGGGGUAGUGGCUUACCAAGGCUUUGACGGGUAGCCGGCCUGGGAGGGUGACCGGCAACAUUGGGACUGAGAUACGGCCCAGACUCCUACGGGAGGCAGCAGUGGGAAAUAUUGCACAAUGGGCGGAAGCCUGAUGCAGAAACGCCGCGUGCGGGAUGACGGCCUUCGGGUUGUAAACCGCUUUCGCAUGUGACGAAGCGUGAGUGACGGUAAUGGGUAAAGAAGCACCGGCUAACUACGUG